rnacentral:rRNA from 1 species
AGAGUUUGAUCCUGGCUCAGAACGAACGCUGGCGGCGUGCCUAACACAUGCAAGUCGAACGCGAAAGGGGGCAACCCCCGGUAGCGUGGCAGACGGGUGAGUAACACGUGGGUAACCUACCCGGAGGUGGGGGAUAACCCUUCGAAAGGAGGGUUAAUACCGCAUGAUACCUCGAGGACCUCGGUCCUUGUGAUCAAAGCUGGCCUCUGUUUACAAGCUAGCGCCACCGGAUGGGCCCGCGCCCCAUUAGCUAGUUGGUGAGGUAAUGGCUCACCAAGGCGACGAUGGGUAGCCGGCCUGAGAGGGCGAUCGGCACACUGGAAAUGCGACACGGUCCAGACUCCUACGGGAGGCAGCAGUGAGGAAUAUCGCGCAAUGGGCGAAAGCCUGACGCAGCGACGCCGCGUGGAGGAUGAAGGUCUUCGGAUUGUAAACUCCUGUGGAGUGGGACGAAUGCCGUGAGGGUGAACAAUCCUGCGGUUGACGUACCGCUGAGGAGGCCCG